UACGUAGGUGGCUAGCGUUAUCCGGAAUUACUGGGCGUAAAGGGUGCGUAGGUGGUUUCUUAAGUCAGAGGUGAAAGGCUACGGCUCAACCGUAGUAAGCCAUUGAAACUGGGAAACUUGAGUGCAGGAGAGGAGAGUGGAAUUCCUAGUGUAGCGGUGAAAUGCGUAGAUAUUAGGAGGAACACCAGUUGCGAAGGCGGCUCUCUGGACUGUAACUGACACUGAGGCACGAAAGCGUAGGGAGCAAACAGG
rnacentral:rRNA from 1 species